GAGCACUGUUCGUAACCCGUUAGCCU
rnacentral:piRNA from 1 species